rnacentral:lncRNA from 1 species
GAAACAGGGGAUAUUUUUUCCAACAAAAUCCGACAAAUCCGUUCCGAUCGUGCAUACAGGCAAGAGAAGGAAGGGGGAGAAGGGUGGAAGUGGAGUCGGGGUUUACCUCGAGCUCCGAUGAUGUCUCCGACGAGAACUUGAGGCAAACACGGUGAAGGCUUCGGUGAGCAAAUUUCCGACGAUUCUCGCCAUUUUGCCCUCGAUUGCUGGAUGGGAGGAAGGGAGAAGAGAUCUCCCCUUUAAAUAGAGCCGAAGGGGAGGAGUUUGACUCCUCUCUGUGGCAUUUUCCAACUCCGUUUAGGAGCC